rnacentral:rRNA from 1 species
GAUGAACGCUGGCGGCGUGCUUAACACAUGCAAGUCGAACGAAGCAUUUGCGACAGAUUUCUUCGGAUUGAAGUUGCUUAUGACUGAGUGGCGGACGGGUGAGUAACGCGUGGGUAACCUGCCUCAUACAGGGGGAUAGCAGCUGGAAACGGCUGGUAAUACCGCAUAAGCGCACAGUACCACAUGGUACAGUGUGAAAAGCUCCGGUGGUAUGAGAUGGACCCGCGUCUGAUUAGCUAGUUGGUGAGGUAACGGCCCACCAAGGCGACGAUCAGUAGCCGACCUGAGAGGGUGACCGGCCACAUUGGGACUGAGACACGGCCCAGACUCCUACGGGAGGCAGCAGUGGGGAAUAUUGCACAAUGGAGGAAACUCUGAUGCAGCGACGCCGCGUGAGUGAAGAAGUAGUUCGCUAUGUAAAGCUCUAUCAGCAGGGAAGAUAGUGACGGUACCUGACUAAGAAGCUCCGGCUAAAUACGUGCCAGCCGCCGCCGUAA